UGUUGCCAACCAAGAAAAGUGGCUUCAUCCCUAAAGAGGAUGUCCCUCCCAUAAUCUCCAAAAUGGGAAGCUCUGCUUUCCACGGAAGCCAGUGGAGGAGUGGCAUGGCCCCAAAGAUGGGCAUGGGGUCUAAAAAGGAUCUAGACGAAAGACUGGUACCUGAGCGUUUGCUGCCGUCAUUGGAACAGAGAGUCCACAAGGAGUUGAACAAAGCAGAGAAAUAUGUCACUACUAAACAAGAAGAGGAUGAGACCAGUGGUGAUGAUGAAGCUGUGACUACAGCUGAUGUGGCACAGAAGGCGCCUACUCUACCUAGCGUGCCCUCGGACCUGCCAAAGCCUGA
ensembl:lncRNA